UAGAGUUUGAUCUUGGCUCAGGNCGAACGCUGGCGGCAUGCCUAAUACAUGCAAGUCGAACGAGCUUCCGUUGAAUGACGUGCUUGCACUGAUUUCAACAAUGAAGCGAGUGGCGAACUGGUGAGUAACACGUGGGGAAUCUGCCCAGAAGCAGGGGAUAACACUUGGAAACAGGUGCUAAUACCGUAUAACAACAAAAUCCGCAUGGAUUUUGUUUGAAAGGUGGCUUCGGCUAUCACUUCUGGAUGAUCCCNCGGCGUAUUAGUUAGUUGGUGAGGUAAAGGCCCACCAAGACGAUGAUACGUAGCCGACCUGAGAGGGUAAUCGGCCACAUUGGCGACUGAGACACGGCCCAAACUCCUACGGGAGGCAGCAGUAGGGAAUCUUCCACAAUGGACGAAAGUACUGAUGGAGCAAUGCCGCGUGAGUGAAGAAGGGUUUCGGCUCGUAAAACUCUGUUGUUAAAGAAGAACACCUUUGCAGAGUAACUGUUUCAAGGGUUGACGGUAUUUAACCAGAAAGCCNCGGCUAA
rnacentral:rRNA from 2 species